UGGGGAAUCUUGGACAAUGGGCGCAAGCCUGAUCCAGCCAUGCCGCGUGAGUGACGAAGGCCUUAGGGUUGUAAAGCUCUUUUGGCGGGGACGAUAAUGACGGUACCCGCAGAAUAAGCCCCGGCUAACUUCGUGCCAGCAGCCGCGGUAAUACGAAGGGGGCUAGCGUUGUUCGGAAUUACUGGGCGUAAAGCGCACGUAGGCGGAUUUGUCAGUCAGGGGUGAAAUCCCGAGGCUCAACCUCGGAACUGCCUCCGAUACAGCAAGUCUCGAGUCCGGAAGAGGUGAGUGGAAUUCCUAGUGUAGAGGUGAAAUUCGUAGAUAUUAGGAAGAACACCAGUGGCGAAGGCGGCUCACUGGUCCGGUACUGACGCUGAGGUGCGAAAGCGUGGGGAGCAAACAGGAUUAGAUACCCCUGUAUUCCCUGAGCGGGCUGGCAAGGCGCAU
rnacentral:rRNA from 1 species